UCAUCUUCUUUUCUUCUUUAUUCUUUCUCUAUCUUUUCUUUCUUCGUCUGUUUCUUCUCUUCUCCUUUGUUCUUCCUCUGUAAGAAUUCGAGUGAUGAAAUUGAGAGGUAAUCAAGAGAUUUUGAUCGAUGAGUUAGCUCAGAUGAACUAGAAGAGGUUGCUGAUGUUAACUGAACUCGGGAGAAGAAGGAGUGGUUGCAGCCGUAAGUUUAAAAUUAGGGUUCCUGCAUUUGGUUAUGAGUUUAUAUGAAAUUGAAGAUGAAACCGAAACAAGAGGAUAAUGAUCAAGGUUGGUUGUUGUUAGUGAUUAUUUUGGUGUAGUUGAUUCAUAUUUACAAGACAAGUUUUGGAAGUUAGGGUUUCUUGAAAAAUUCAUGAUAUAUUUAGAAGAAGAAAUUGAUGAUCAUUUUGAAUUCGAUUGAGCUCUGGAAGUAGUUAAAAGGUAACUAAUGAGUUUUAAAUUAAGUUUAUUGUUUGAUCCAAAGUUUGUGACCCCAUAAACUUCCAGUGAAAUGAUUAAGAUGGAUAUGAGAUUGGAAUUGGAGUUUUGGUUAUGCAGGUGAGAUGUGAGUUUGGUGGUAAUGGAUGUGUAGUGUGGUUUGAAAUUGAGUUGAAAUUCUAGUGGUGGUGGGGAUUUGAAUUUGGGAUUGAGACCAGUGUAGAAUGAAGUUGUGAUUAUUGAACUGGUGGUGAUUGAAUGAAUGUGCGAUGGUGGCGUCGAGUGUGGAUUUGAGUUGAGAGGACUUGGAUAUAGCGGCUACUGCAUUUGCAGGUGUUUUUGGAAAAUAAAGCUCAAUGGACUAAAAUGUGACAUUCUGCUCGUAAAAUGGAGGAAAUGAAGUGAAUUAUAAUUUAAUAGGCUAGGCCCAAAAGGAAGAAGAUGGAGAAUUAUUUCAUUUGUCCAAUUAUUUGGAUAUGGGAGUGUGGAAAGUGUGGAGCCCAUUAUGUCAACAUCAUUUACAAGUUAUUAAAAAGAUAUAUGGAGAUAUUUAUUUUAAUGAAGAAAAUAAAAGUGUUAAGUAAGAAAUCUACAUGGAAUAAUUGAUGGGAAUUAAAUAUAUAAAGAGUAUGGAAAGAAUAUUAUUCUCUAUGGUUGGAGUUAAUAAAGAAUAAAUAAUUCCCAAAUAAGGAAAAUUGUAAAUGCAUGAGAAUUAUAUUAUUUGACGCGUGGCACAUUCUUAUUGGAGGAUUUUUCAUUGUCUUGGAAUGUGGCGUAUUCUCAUUCGGUGAUGAUGUAGCAUUGGUGAAUAGAAAAGGAAAGUGGAUUCCUUUGAAAGUUAUAAAUACACUGUGGAUACAAGAAAAAAGGGAGGUCCGGAGAGUAGAGUUUUUAUUUUCAUUGUUUUAAUUUCUCUUUUGUAAUAAUGGAGUAAUUUCUCCGCUAGGGUGGAGGAAGAAACUACUUCUAGCAUGUAAGUUUUGAUAUUUAAUUUUCUUUUAAUUAUUACUCUCCAA